CCGGGUUGAUCCUGCCAGACCCGACUGCUAUCCGGGUAGGACUAAGCCAUGCAAGUUGAAUGGAAUGCCUAAAUUUUCCAUGGCGAACCACUCAGUAACACGUGAUCAACUUACCCUAAAGCGGAGUAUAACCUCGGGAAACUGAGGAUAAUACACCAUAGUUGAAAAUGCCUGGAAUGGUUUUUCAAUGAAAGAGUAAUCUGAAUGGAGAUUAUUUCACCUUAGGAUAGGAUCGCGCCCGAUUAUGGCUGUUGGUGAGGUAACGGCUCACCAAACCUAUUAUCGGUAAGGGCCGUGAGAGCGGGAGCCCUGAGUUGGGUACUGAGACAAUGACCCAGGUCUUACGAGACGCAGCAGGCGCGAAAUCUUGACAAUACACGAGAGUGUGAUCAGGUUACCCGGAGUGCUACAAAGUAGCUGUGGCAAGUGAGUUAGAUUCCUUGCUAGGAAGGAGAGGGCAAGGCUGGUGCCAGCCGCCGCGGUAAUUUGAGCCGUAUCAGUGCCGUAGGGAAACCGCUAAGCGCGCCGCCUGGGGAGUACGGUCGCAAGACUGAAACUUAAA
rnacentral:rRNA from 1 species